ACGCUCGACACCUACGUGAGGCAGCAGUUGGGAAUAUUGGACAAUGGAGGAAACUCUGAUCCAGUGACGCCGCGUGAAGGAAGAAGGUCUUCGGAUUGUAAACUUAUUUUGUCAGGGAAGAAAAAUGACUGUACCUGAAGAAAAGCACCGGCUAACUACGUGCCAGCAGCCGAGGUAAUCUGAGCGGGCUGGCAAGGC
rnacentral:rRNA from 1 species